rnacentral:lncRNA from 1 species
UUUGGGUUUGGUUCGGAUCUACUCCGGUUUUAGAUUUUCAGAGUUAAAGAUAUCAGUUCCAUUAAGGUGUUUAUAAGUUUUAAUUUAAUAUUAUAAAAUUUCAAAAUAAAAAUAUUUUCUACAUUUUUUAAAAAUUUAAAACUAUAACUUUCUAAAUAUAGAUUAAUAUUUAUUAUAAUAUUAUAUUUUUGAUAUUUUUAUAAUUAUAUAAAAUGUAAAUAUUGUUAAUUUAUUAUCUAACUGUUGUUGUAUUUGAUAAUUAACCAGUCAUAAGUAUCUUGCAAACACACCAAUUUUUAACCGCAGAACCAGUCGUACAAAUUUCUUAAAACCGCUAGAAACCGCAACCAUCCGCUAUGGGUGACCCGCAUCCGCAAAUUCCCGCAACCGCAACAGCUGCGUUUGAACCAGUCAGGCCCUUAUUCGGAUCAGAUUUGGGUCACCUGUAUCACCUUCGUAUGAAAUAAUAUAAAAAAUAAAUUCUGCGUUUUCAAAGCGCGGAUCAAAAUCCAUUAUUAAAAGUAAGUUUAAAUCAGUUAUUUAUCAAAUACAAGACAAAUUGUACAAAAAGAAUUAAGUUUUGGCAAAUAAAUUGAGAACGGAAAAUCGAACCAAAAUAAUAUAAAAACAAAACCAAAACCAAAACUAAGUCAAUGUUAACAAAUAUCUUAACAGUUCCUAUAUCGCUGAAACAGAAAAUCUGACACCAAAUUGAAACUAAACCGAAAACUGAAUGGGUACCUGAAUAUAUUAAAUACAGUUUAUACACCUUUAAAAUAUUAAUUAUUUUUAGUCUUAAAAUUAUCAAAUAUUCUAACACUAAUAUAUAUAACCGAACAACCCAAAAAUGGAUUGCCCUUUUACUUUUUAUCCGAGACAUUUAAAAUUUUCGUUUUUUCCCGAUAGAACAUAAUCACCAAAAAAAAAAUAUUCGAAAUAUUUAAAUUUGUUCAAGUUAUCCC